GACGAACGCUGGCGGCGUGCUUAACACAUGCAAGUCGAACGGAAAGGCCCUGCUCUUGUUGGUUUCUCGAUUGGCGAACGCGGGAGUAACACGUGUGUAUCCUCUACUUGUCUUUGGGAGAACUUCUGGAAACAGGGGCGCUUACCGGGUAGAAUCUCCUGCUCCGUAUGGUGCGAUGGAAAGAGUCGGCGGUUGGGGCUGGUUUAGCGGCUUAUCAGCUUGUUGGUCGGGUAGUGGCUGACCAAGGCUGUGACGGGUAGCCGGCCUGAGAGGGUGAACGGCGACAAUGGGACUGAGAUACGGAGCAGACGGCUACGGGAGGCAGCAGUGGGGAAUAUUGCAGAAUGGGCGCAAGCGUGAGGCAGCAACGCCGCGUGCGGGAUGACGGCCUACGGGGUGUAAACAGAUUUGGACGGUGACGAAGCGUGAGUGACGGUAACGGGUAAAGAAGCACCGGCUAACUACGUG
rnacentral:rRNA from 1 species